UAAUAUGUAAAUCAUUAUAUUCAAAAAUUACAAAACAAAACAAAAAUUUAAAAAAAAAGGGGGGAGUUUUUAGUUGGUAGGCGUUCUGUUCGGAGUUAAAAAAAAACACGAACAGAACGAAUCCAACACACCUGACGAGCUCGGGCGUCAGGUGUCUUCCUUAGGUCAGGAAGAUGUUCCAAUGAAAUAUCACUUGACCGAAGGUAUACGAAGAUUUUCUCCUCCAAC
rfam:Cyphomyrmex costatus contig10195, whole genome shotgun sequence.